rnacentral:rRNA from 1 species
GAUCAUGGCUCAGGAUGAACGCUAGCUACAGGCUUAACACAUGCAAGUCGAGGGGCAGCAUGAUCGAAGCUUGCUUUGAUUGAUGGCGACCGGCGCACGGGUGAGUAACGCGUAUCCAACCUUCCCUAUAGUAGAGGAUAGCCCGGCGAAAGUCGGAUUAAUACUCUAUGUUUUCCAAUGCAGACAUCUAAGUUGGAACAAAGGUUUACCGCUAUAGGAUGGGGAUGCGUCUGAUUAGGUAGUCGGCGGGGUAACGGCCCACCGAGCCAACGAUCAGUAGGGGUUCUGAGAGGAAGGUCCCCCACAUUGGAACUGAGACACGGUCCAAACUCCUACGGGAGGCAGCAGUGAGGAAUAUUGGUCAAUGGGCGAGAGCCUGAACCAGCCAAAGUAGCGUGCAGGAUGACGGCCCUAUGGGUUGUAAACUGCUUUUAUACGGGGAUAAAGUGAGGGACGUGUCCCUUUUUGUAGGUACCGUAUGAAUAAGGACCGGCUAAUUCCGUGCCAGCCGCCGC